GACUUCCUGAAGGUGGAGCUCCAGAAAGAGCAGGAGUUUUUAAAGAGACAGUGUUAGGAUUCGGGUUGGUGUGAGUGCUCUUUCCUAUAGAGGAUCUUCGGAGGAGUUCUGACAGGCUGGCGCACCGGCAGCUGAUUCCGAGUGAUUGAGUGGUGGACCUUUAAGAAGCAGAGGAGCAGUCACUCAUCGCUCGAUGGUCCCACUUGUUGAAAACGACAAGCUGUCAAAAUCAAGCCAGGAACCACGUCUGGACUUUAAGAUCGCUUCCUGCCAAGACCAAACAUCUCCGCCUGCCGCGCUCCUUCCCUCUCCAUCAUUGGUCCUCAGAGACGCUCCCGGAUUCUAGCCUUUUUCCCUCCGCGCAACCUCCAUCCGAAAGACAGUAAGCUUAUUCCUCUAAACCAAUCAAGAUCCCUCAUCUCCGGUCCCUUCUAACAUCUCCCUUCUCUGAACAGAACCCGAGCUGACCUGCCUACCCAUCCUCUGGAGCACAAUUUGACUGCACUGUUUAAAAUACAUUAAACUUUCACUGAACAGUG